CGGCGGACGGGUGAGUAAUGUCUGGGAAACUGCCCGAUGGAGGGGGAUAACUACUGGAAACGGUAGCUAAUACCGCAUAAUGUCUGCGGACCAAAGCGGGGGACCUCCGGGCCUCGCGCCAUCAGAUGAACCCAUAUGGGAUUAGCUUGUAGGUAAGGUAACGGCUUACCUAGGCGACGAUCCCUAGCUGGUCUGAGAGGAUGACCAGCCACACUGGAACUGAGACACGGUCCAG
rnacentral:rRNA from 1 species